rnacentral:rRNA from 1 species
UGGGGAAUAUUGCACAAUGGGCGCAAGCCUGAUGCAGCCAUGCCGCGUGUGUGAAGAAGGCCUUCGGGUUGUAAAGCACUUUCAGCGGGGAGGAAGGCGGUGAGGUUAAUAACCUCACCGAUUGACGUUACCCGCAGAAGAAGCACCGGCUAACUCCGUGCCAGCAGCCGCGGUAAUACGGAGGGUGCAAGCGUUAAUCGGAAUUACUGGGCGUAAAGCGCACGCAGGCGGUCUGUCAAGUCGGAUGUGAAAUCCCCGGGCUCAACCUGGGAACUGCCUUCGAAACUGGCAGGCUAGAGUCUUGUAGAGGGGGGUAGGAUUCCAGGUGUAGCGGUGAAAUGCGUAGAGAUCUGGAGGAAUACCGGUAGCGAAGGCGGCCCCCUGGACAAAGCCUGACGCUCAGGUGCGAAAGCGUGGGGAGCAAACAGG